UAUCUGAAAGCGUUUAGAAAAAAAGUCUGUAUAACUGUGCUUUUCAACAAUUUAUCAAAGUCCAAAGCCCGUAAUUUGGGUAAAAAUUAGCGAAACGGAACGAAACUUAAACUUGAUCUGUAACACAUCAUGGUUAACUCCCAUACCAAAAAUUAGCCCAAUAUCUGAAGGCGUUUAGAAAAAAACUCUGUAUAAUGGUUUGUUGCGGAAUGACGGAAUUACGGAAUUUCGG
rnacentral:lncRNA from 1 species